UUGACAUUUGAUUCUUCAGACAAAAAGGGCAUGUUGAAGCAUAAAGGCGGCGCCAAUGGGCGCCGAAGCACAUGUUUUGUUCCACAGUGGUUUGAGGGUGAGAAGAUCAAGGAUGAUCAUUCAGUAAUGAUCCCUCCGCAGGUUCACCUACGGAGA
rnacentral:misc_RNA from 1 species